UUUUAGCCCCGAUUAAAGUGAAAAUCCUUUUAGGAUGUGAUGAUGACGAAGGAAGAUUCACAUCCUAAAAGAUUGCAAUCUCGUCUUCAGGAAGAGACGGGAAAUAGC
rnacentral:sRNA from 1 species